rnacentral:rRNA from 1 species
AUUGAACGCUGGCGGCAUGCUUUACACAUGCAAGUCGAACGGUAACAGGCCUUCGGGUGCUGACGAGUGGCGAACGGGUGAGUAAUGCAUCGGAACGUGCCCAAUCGUGGGGGGAUAACGUAGCGAAAGUUACGCUAAUACCGCAUAAGCCCUGAGGGGGAAAGUGGGGGACCGCAAGGCCUCAACGCGAAUGGAGCGGCCGAUGUCAGAUUAGCUAGUUGGUGGGGUAAAGGCCCACCAAGGCGACGAUCUGUAGCGGGUCUGAGAGGGAUGAUCCGCCACACCUGGGACUGAGACACGGCCCAGACUCCUACGGGAGGCAGCAGUGGGGAAUUUUGGACAAUGGGCGCAAGCCUGAUCCAGCCAUGCCGCGUGCGGGACGAAGG